rnacentral:rRNA from 1 species
AGCGAACGCUGGCGGCAGGCCUAACACAUGCAAGUCGAGCGGCCGUAGCAAUACGGCAGCGGCAGACGGGAUAGUAACACGUGGGAACGCGCCCUUCGGUUCGGAAUAACUCAGGGAAACUUGAGCUAAUACCGGAUACGCCCUUACGGGGAAAGAUUUAUUGCCGAAGGAACGGCCCGCGUCCGAUUAGCUAGUUGGUGAGGUAAUGGCUCACCAAGGCGACGAUCGGUAGCUGGUCUGAGAGGAUGACCAGCAUCACUGGGACUGAGACACGGCCCAGACUCCUACGGGAGGCAG